UGUGUGUGUGUGUGUGCGUGCUUGAAAAUUCGUCAAGUUUUGUCCCUUUCCCACUCCCAUUACUCCGAGUAGCGGGCGGCAGCGAAGAAGAGAAUCAAAAGGGAAUGAGUGCUCUCGUUCCAAGUGAAGUUCGUGGCAGGGUGAGGCAUUCCCAAUAGUGCUAAACUGACUUUCUCCUGUUUCUUGUGUUCACACGAACUUCCGCCCUCUGGUGCCUCACCCUGAAUAUAUCUGCCUACAAUUUGGGCCAACGGAAGAAGAAUUUUGAAACUGUUUUUGGAUGCAUGUUUUUGGGUUCAGAUCUUUGUUAAGAAGCUUAAGGGUUGAAUUUGGCAUCAGAUCAUGGAUAAGGGGAAUUUUUAAUUUAUUCUUUGAUAUUUUUGUACUUUUAAUUUAAAUUUAUUUUUUGGGUUUACAGAAAAGGUCCGUUGAUGGUCUAAGCCGCAAGCUUAGAUCCUUUAUAAGGGGAAUUUUAUCAUUUAAUUCUUGAUGUUUAAUUUUCAUUAAUUUUUUGUAUUUUAUUUUUUUUUUAGCUCACAGAAAAUAUAUUUGAUGUGAUUUUGUUAUGCAUUUAGGUUCAGAUCUUUGAUAUGGGAAAAUUUUUAAUUUAAUCUUCGAUUUUUUAUUUAAAUUUAUAUAAUUUUUUUGUGAGUUUUGUGGUUGGAUUUGGGAGCGGAUUUUUGUUAAGCGGAAUUGUUAAUUAAUUAAAUUUAAAUUAAAUUUUUUUUUAAAUCAUUCUUGGGCUAACAGAAACGGUUGUUAAUGGGCUUUGGGGUUGAAUUUGGGAUUAGAUCUUUGAUAAAGAUAUUUUUGUAAUUUAAUCUUCGAUUUAUUUAAACUUCAUUAUUUUAAUCCUAUUUUUGUUUACAGAAAAAUGUAUUGAUGGGCCUUGGGAUUAGAUUUUGUUCAGAUCUUUGAUGGGGGAAUUUUGGUAAUUUAAACUUCAAUUUUUUUUUAUUUAAGUGUCAUUAUUUUUAUCCCUCUGGAUUGAAUUUGGUUUCAGAUCUUUAAUGAGGGGAUUUUUUUUUUCAUUUAAUGUUUCAUUUUUUAU
rnacentral:sRNA from 1 species